UGAUAUACAAUCUUCUCAACUCACAUAAUGACUCGAUAGUGUGAUGAUAUCUCCGGCUCUUCCAACUCGAAUUAAAGGAUAAACCUAUAAGAAAUGGAAAAGAGAACACGGAGUAAGCUUCAAUGCUUAGUAAAUUUUAAGCAAUGCAAACAAUUAAUUUACUUAUAGAUCGAUUAUUUCAAAUUUUCAAGAAAUCAUUCCUAGGUAAUUGCCAUUUUGGCCAAGUAUCCAUGAACAUAAUGCAUAUUUAGCAAAUUCAUCUCACUUGAAUCUGAACUCAAUUAAAACCAAAUAUUCAAAUCACAAAUAAGAUCAUAAGAACUCGAAAAGCAUCUCAUUAACUAGUUUUAACCAUGUUUACAACAAAAUCACAAAUUCACUACAAGCUGUCUUCCUGAGCAACAGUCACUAAAUUGUUUAUAACUGGAGCUAAGAAACUCCAAAUCAAGUGCGUUAAUUUUCCCUAAAAAUAGACUCAUAUAUCUUCCAUCCAUCAAAUUUUCAGAAUUUUUGGUUUGACCAAUCAAUACCAGAUUUUUAUUGAAGUUUCCCCUGUUUCACUGUUUGACUAUUCUGACCACUCUUCACUACGAAUCAAUUUUCUCAUUAUACAGAAUUAGAAUUAUGUUAUCGUUUAUUUCAUUUGAAACUAGACUCAUUAAGGAGUCUAAUUAUAUAAAUUUUAUCUAAUAAUCAUCAUUGUACAAUUUACAAUGAUUUUCUAAAAACAGAACAGGGGAUUUCAAAGUCAUUUUGCCUCUAUCUUACUCCACUUCAAAUAUCUCAUUAUCUACAAUUCUUUUGCUUACAAGGUUUCUUUUAUAAGAAACUAGACUCACUAAGCUUUAAUUACAUAAUUUAUUCAGCUUCUAAUUCAAUUUCCACAAUUUAUGGUGAUUUUCCAAAAUCACACUACUGUUGCUGUCCCGAGCAGAUUUAUUACAAUUUGCUCUUUCACACAUUCCUUGCAUUCAAAUUAUCUAAACAUGUAUAUCAUGUCAUUCAAGAUCGAACUCAUAUAACAUAGGCAUUAAAAUGCUUCACUAACAGCUUUAGUUCAAUUGAAACGAUUAAAAUACAAUAUCAUAUUCACAUUUAAUUUUCCAUGAUCGUAAUCACCUAAAAAUAAAUCAUAUACUUCCACAAACCUUUCCACAAGGACCAAGUGUUUAUAUUUGAAUAUAAACAUAAAAUCAUUUCACAUAACUUCACACAUUUACCGAAUAUAUCACGAUCACAUAUAUAGUCAUAACACUUAUUCACAGAUGCAUCACUUUAUAUAUUUAUAACUUAAUUCAAAUCAAAUCACAUACGAGUACAUGAUACGUACCUGGCCAACUUAAUAUGUAAUGCAUUUUCAAUUUGUCAACUUAGUGUAGGAUCUUGUAAUUGUAUACUUUUAUCAAAUUCAUCGGCACUUGGCCUGCUAGGUAUAAAACCCGAAAUUAUAUUACCAGCACAAAGCCUGCGGGACUUUAGCUCGGAUACAUUUCCAGCACGAAGCCUGCGGGACUUUAGCCCGGAUACAUUUCCAGCACGAAGCCUGCGGGACUUUAGCCCGGAUACAUUUCCAGCACGAAGCCUGUGGGACUUUAGCCCGGAUACAUUUCCAGCACGAACCCUGCGGGUCUUUAGCCGGGAUACAUUUCCAGCACGAAGCCUGCGGGGCUUUAGCCCGGAUACAUUUCCAGCACGAAGCCUGCUGGACUUUAGCCCGGAUACAUUUCCAGCACGAAGCCUGCGGGUCUUUAGCCCGGAUACAUUUCCAGCACGAAGCCUGCGGGUCUUUAGCCCGGAUACAUUUCCAGUGUCUUGCUUAUUUAUUCACAUGUUAACACAUUUCACAUAACAUAUCACAUUAGCAAUUCAAUUGCUUCAUUCGAAUAUAAGCACAAAAUGUACACCUACCCUUUAACUUUCGGUUCAAUAAUCAUACACAAGGAACACAAAUGUCGAAAUCCUGUGUCAUGACAUAUGUAUCCUAACUAUUCCUAAGGUUCAUACAGGGCUUUCGAGUGUCAUAACUCGGUCGAAUCGAAAGCUCGAACAUAGUUUUCAAACUCAUACACAUUCGGCAUUUACAAGUAUAAAUUCAUAUAUUAUAUACCAGCAUAUAUACUUAACAUUUAACUACAUUUAGGCAUGUGUAUUUGCUUAUAAACUUACCUCAGACGUCGUAAAACGGGACGGAGCUACUAGUCGACAACUUUCGUUUUUUCCUAGUCCUAAUCCGAUUUCUUUGGUUCUUAAUCUAAAAAUAUUCAAAUUAAGCUCAUUCAAACAUAUUUUCAUUUAAUUUAGUCCAAAAACACAUAAAUGGUCAAAUUACCAUUUUGCCCCUGACAUUUACAAUUUUUACAAUUUAAUCCCUAUUGCACAAAACACAAAAUAUGCAAAAUUUCAAGGUACCCAUGUUUGGCCGAAUAUUCCUAGUGUUCAUACAAGCCCAUUUAUUUCAUUUAUUUCAUAUUUUAGUCCCUUAAAUUAUUAUUUAUGCAAUUAAGUCCUUAUUACUCAAAAUCAUCAAAAACUCCAAUACAAAAUAUGUUAAUCUAAAACAUAUCUUUUAUUUUUCAUCAUCAAACAAAAAAAAUCACAAGCUAUUAACAAUGGCACAACUCAAAAUAUUCAUCAAAAUCAAAAUUUCAAGCAUGGGUUUUGUAGUACUCGAAGCAACGAUUUCAAAAACGUAAAAAUUAUCAAAAACCGAGCUGAACACUUACCUUAAUCUAGCUUGAACAAGGCCGAACCCUACUUUGUUUUCUUUCUUUUUCUUUGUUUUAGUUUCGGUGCAAAGAUGAAGGAAAUAACAUGAAUGUGGCUUAUUAUUUUAUGAUAUAAUAACAUAUAUUAUUUUAUUAUUAAUUUACCUAACUAACCUUAAUGAAAUAGUAAUAAAAUUAUAUAACCUAUGUCCAUUACCGUACAAGCCACAUGUUAAUGGAAUAGUUACAUUAUAAAUACUCCAACUUAGAAAAUCACCAACUAUUUGGCCCUCUUACUUUAAACUAUCAAAUUUUCAAUUUACGCAAUUAAGUCCUAUUAUUUAAUCAGACACCCAAAUGACAAAAUUAAAUUACGAAAUUUUCACAGAUAUAAAUUCACACAAAGUAAACAUAGAAAAUAAUUUAAAAAUAUUUUUCUGACUCAAAUUCAUGGUCCCGAAACCACCGUUCUGUUUAGGGUCUAAAUCGGGCUGUUACAACUCUCCCCCCUUAGGAAUUUUCGUCCCCGAAAAUUUUACCAGUGAAUAGGUUCGGAAAACGUUCUCUCAUUGUAUCCUCUGGCUCCCAUGUUGCUUCUUCAACUCCAUGCUUAUGCCAGAAUACCUUAACUAACAAAAUCUUCUUAUUCCAUAACUCUUAUACCUCAUGAGUCAAAAUGCGAAUCGGUUCUUCUUCGUAGGUCAUAUUAGGCUAAAUUUCAAUCUCAGACGGACUAAUCACAUGUGAUGGAUCAGAUCGAUACCUCCGAAGCAUCGAAACGUGGAAUACAUUGUGGAUCUUUUCUAACUCAGGUGGCAACAAUAAUCUAUAAGCAACCGGCCCGAUACAUUCUAUAACCUUAUACGACCCAAGAAACCUCGGACUCAAUUUGCCUUUACGACCGAAUUUGAGUAUUUUCUUCCACGGUGAGUCUUUCAAGAAAACUUUAUCUCCGAUCUGAAACUCUAUAUCUUUCCGUUUCAAGUUCGCAUAAGAUUUCUGUCGAUCUAACGCUACUUUCAAACAUUCACGGAUCACUUUCACUUUCUGUUCAGUUUCUCUGAUCAAAUCGACUCCGUGUAUCUUAUUUUCACUGAGCUCAGUCCAAUACAAUGGCGUUCGGCAUUUACGACCAUACAAAGCCUCACAAAUUUGCUGAUUAAACAUCAAUUUAGUUUCUAGCUCAGCCAAUAACUACUCAUCAUUUGAUAAGAUUAAUCACAUGAUUGUCGGUCGUAAAACACAUAAAGAUUCUCGCUCAGAACCCCAAAGACUAUAAUCAUUUGCCCAGAUUGAUAAUCAAUCACUGACUCAUAAUCUUUCAACAGUUCGAACCAUCUUUAAUUCUUGUGUCGAAUAACUCUUUACUUGAGAACUGGCGCUUCAAUAACAAUUUCUUCAACUGUUUAUCACUUUAUUGAUAAAUAUUACAUCAUUUAAAAGAUAUUUUUCACAGAUAACCAUAUAGAAUUAUAAGAAAGAAGAGAUACUGUAAUCUCAAAUAUAUCACUAUACUGAUCUUUUUAAGAAAGCGCCCAUAUCAGAUGACAGAUAUCUCAGUGAUGUCUCAGAGGAAAUCCAGAAGUAAAACAUCACUCACAUGCACCAGAAUUAACGGUAACAGAAAUAAUAUAAUCUUCAUGUAUACUAAGUAGAUCAAAAACUAGUAGGAUCAAAAUACCAACAUCACACAGAUUCUAUCGUAGAUCUUUUCUUUCAAUAAAAUGAAAUAGGAUACUAGAUAAAGAUAUAAUAAUGUCAAUUGUAACCCGAAUAGCCCAACAAUGCUUUCAUAUAUCAAUAUAUAUAGACGACGUUCUCAUAUGAUAAGAAUUUUCAUUUGAAAUAUACAGUUAUACAUACCUCUGAGGAUAAAUGUAGACAUAGAAUGCCCAGAAGAAAACAUAGUAAUUGCCCGACUAUAAUCACUGCACUCAGCUAUCAUUUCAAUUCAAACAUUAUCCUACUGUCUAAUUCUAUCAUCACCAAUUUCACAAUAUUCCAUUACUAACAGAAAUCAAUUCAGAAAAACUUCCAGUUAAUACGUUCUUUAGACAUCAUACCUAAAUACUUUCAUCUCAUCGAAUUCAACUUCUUCUUUAACAGUGAAUUGGCAUAUUACGAAUGGCCUUCAACAUGAUCCAAUAUCUUUUCUGUUACUGUCUUCACUUGCGGACUCAUUCUAUUAUCUGAUCACAACACUAAUCUUUCAACCACGAAACUCUGUAAUUUUACACUCGUAAGCGUAUUUAAUCCAUAUAGUACGGAUCUCAUUACAAUGCUUUACCGAUGAGGGGGUGAGGGUUGUAAAGCCAACAAUUUUAACUCUUACGUAAGCAUGCACAUCACACAUACUAUUAUGAACGAAGAGUUCAUUACUAAUUCUGUAUUCUCAAACAUCUAGCAAUCAUUUACUUAUGAUCACUUGGUACUUAACACAUAGCUCAUAUGCUAAUUCAAAUCAUAAAUUCUAAGUCAAAAUAUUCACACAACCAUCAUAUACUCAACCUCAUAACUCAUAUACUCAUAUAAUUAUAACAUUUAUCAAUAGCAGAAUAUCAUGCAUUCUGAUUCAUACCUUUUAUGAGUUUCAACUCAUUACCAACACAUUUUCACUCAAACGUUUGAGUAUAACAUUCUAUACUAUCAGAAUUAGCUCGAUUGGAAAGCAUAUCUGUCUUACAAAACAAUUUCGUUAGAGUCGGGAGAUGUCACACUAUCACGAGUAGUAAUAUGACAUGUAUAGCUAGACUCAUAUACGCUAGGUUAGUCCGAGAAUCGACUAAACCAUAGCUCUGAUACCACCAAAUGUAACACUCCUAACUCGUAUCCGUUGCCGGAAUAAGGUUAUGAGGUAUUACUUGACUGAACAAAACUUCUAUAAGGUCAAAGAUACUUACUAGACAUAAAUUAUCAACAAUGCAAACCUGUCUCAUUGAUUUUCCAUAAGAGCUCUUAUAAAUUUCCAAAAUGACUAACUAUCAAAAUAUAACCGAAUAUCUAAUAACAAAAUAACUACUAUCAAGUUAUAACUAAAACAUUUCAACACAUUAGUUCAAUUAUAAGGCUUCUCUAAACAAAAUGAGCAAGCCAUCUUCGCAUGGCUAUAAUGUAUACAAAGUCGAAAUAUCAUUCUACCUAUAGUCUAUCCUAUACAUGCCUUAAACCAUGAUGAUAUACAAUCUUCUCAACUCACAUAAUGACUCGAUAGUGUGAUGAUAUCUCCGGCUCUUCCAACUCGAAUUAAAGGAUAAACCUAUAAGAAAUGGAAAAGAGAACACUGAGUAAGCUUCAAUGCUUAGUAAAUUUUAAGCAAUGCAAACAAUUAAUUUACUUAUAGAUCGAUUAUUUCAAAUUUUCAAGAAAUCAUUCCUAGGUAAUUGCCAUUUUGGCCAAGUAUCCAUGAA
rnacentral:lncRNA from 1 species